GUUUUUAUAUGCAUAUUUUUUUCAUUCAUUCUAUACACACACAUUGGUUGUGAAGAAAUGACAUAGACCAAAGGGAAAAGCCGACCUCUUUCGAAGCGCAGCAGUCCCCACUCGGAACGAAUUCCAUCCCCCAAGGUCUACAAUACGUGCACAGUUGGAGAAAUGAUAAAGAUGACAAGCGUGCACAUGUCUCAAGAGACCAGCAAAAACAGCCUGUUCAAGUUUAUUCGAUAAUGAUCCUUCCGCAGGUUCACCUACGGAAA
rnacentral:misc_RNA from 1 species